rnacentral:lncRNA from 1 species
GCAGAUUGCUGCAUGCUCAUCAGUCCUCCUGUAGGUGGGAAGUGGCCUCCGUGCACAUUAUGUGAAGGCCAUGAAAUGAAACGACUGCUGAAUGGUCAAUGGGAUGAUCCUAGGGAGAGGGAAUGGGCUGUUUUCUCUUGGGUGCUUAAAUUAAUGACAUUUAUUUUUUAUUUUUGGUAUACUUUUCCCUAGAUUCAGAAGUUUAGCCAUCUAGCUUAAAAAAGCCAGAAUUGAUCCCUACUCUCUGACAUAUUCAAAUGGCUAAACAAAAUAGAAAAAGUGACUAAACUAUAGAAUUCUGGACUCAGAGAGUCAUGGUUUCCUAGAAUUAUACAGAUGAAUGCAAGAGAUAUCGUAGAGAUGAUUCCUGGGUUAGGUGGGUGGUCUUCAACUCUGAGAUUCUGUCAUUUGAUGACUUUUACUCUGCUAGAUCUGGUAAGUUUCUUCUGGGAGACAAUUUUUCUGCCAUUCAGAAUCUCAGAGAGGUUUUAACUGAAACAGUCUCUCAAUAAAAGCCUCGUGUCAGAUACUCUCCUUUGUAGGGAAGCAGUGCUGACAGUAGCUGGGAAGAACUGAGUGGCCUCAAACAAAAAGAAAAGGAAAGCAAGUUUGAAAGAUAUAACUGUCAUUAUUUCCUUUGGAGAGAUAAUUAUCUUGACAUAAAAGUUACAUUUCAUGUAUAACCCACGAUUUGUAAAUAGAGUCAUGGGUCUCCUGCUAGUAGAUGUGGGCAAUGAACACUUGCCAGAAUUGUGCGUGUGUUUUGCUCUGAAUUUCGUUGCACAGACUGAAGUUUUAUAGACUUAGGACUUACAUUUUAACCUAUGACCUAUUUUGAGUUAUACAUGGUAAGAGAUGAGGGUCUAAGAUUUUUUUUGUUUUUUUUGUAUAUGAAUAUAUAAUUGUUCCAGCACCAUUUAUUGAAAAGACUCUCUUUUCCCUCAUUGAAUUGCUUUGUCACCUUUGUCAAAAUCAAUUGACUGUAAGUAUGAAGAUUUAUUUCUGGACUCUAUUCUGUCUGUUUGAUCAAUUAUGUCUGUCCAUACACAAAUAGCAUACUGUCUUGAUUACUAUAGAUUUAUAGUAAAUUUUGUUUAAGUCCUCCAACUUUGUUCUUUUUGUUCAGUUUUUUUUUUUUUGGUUGUUCGCAGUCCUUUGAAUUUUCACAUAAAUUUUACAAUCAGUUUGUUAAUUUCUACAAAAGCAGGGUCUCUGGAUCAUAUGGUGGAAUCAGCAUUCAUCAAUGUAAUAAACCAGUGGUCUUAUGGAAAGAUGAUCAAGUCCCUGCAGACUAUAAUAUAACAUUUAGGUUUGAAGGGUUGAUAUACCCCAAGGCAUUUGGGAUCUGUAAACUGGCUCAAGUCUAGGAAUUGAUUGCAGAAACUGCGACUCUGUUUUUAUGAUUUAAAUUAGACUAAGUUCGUAUUGCCUGGAACUCUUCUGCUUAAACAGUGCAAAUAAGAAUGUAGUAGACCAGGUGUUUUAGCCUGUUCUUGCAUUGCUAUAAAGGAAUACCUGAGACUGGCUAGGACCUUGGCAACUCUGCUCUUCCUCCUGGCAAUCAGGCAUCUGGAAUGGCUGAAGGGUGAAUUCCAAGCAGCAGAAAGAGUGCCAGAGUCCUGGGCACUUCCUUCUUUGGAAUCUCUCUAUCAGCCCAGCACACCCCAGGUUGUGUUUUCUGAGCAGAACAAGGUGAUUCUCUGCAAUGUACUAGAGGAGAGGAAGGACCAGGAUGCACUGCAUGCAGCUGUCUCAACUCACCUUGCUCCUUUCUUCCUCCAUAACUUUGCUUUGGACAUUUUCUCUGCCUGGAAUGCCUUACCUUAUUCUCUCUCUUUCUCCUGGUGAAAUCCCUACUUAUCCUCUAAGGCUGAAUGAAAACACUGUCUCUUCUGGGAAGCCACCACCCCUCUCCCUCAAACCCUUUUCUCCCACAACUUUUUGUUCCUAGCCCUGUUGUAAUACUGACCAUAUUGUAUUAUAGUGAGUAGUCUGCCUGAGUGAGUGCAAUAACUUUUUUUUUUUUCUCUAACUCUUUGGCCCUAGGAUCUAGGAUGGUGCCUGGCACAUAUCAAUGAUAAUGAUGAUUAUAAUAACAAUUAUUCAUUAUAUGCUUAGCAGUUGCAAGGCACAGUGCUAAGAGCUCCGUAACAUUUAAUCUCCACCACAAUUCUAAGGGUAGCUAUUAGUGUUAUCCUAGUUUCUGGAUGAAGUGGUGGGUUUAGGGAGGUUCUGCAACUUGCUUAGGGUCCCAUAUCUUUUAAAGGGUGGAGCUAAGUUUUGAACCCAGUGCUUCAGAUAAAUACCCACCACAUAGUAGACAUUCAAUAAUACACUAAAUGAAUGAAUGGAUUCAAACCUCCACUUAUUCAGGCAAUUAACAUUUACUGAAGAUUUUUGAUGUGCUGAGUUCUGUGCUGGGGAUUAGAAGUGUACAUGCAAACAAAAUAAAACUUUCAUCUUUGAUGGGCAUGAAGAUAAGCAUUUAAAAAAACAAACAAACUCAGCUUCCAUGGGAGUCAGUGAGAUUCUUAGCAUCUGAGGGUUUCUAUGCAUGUAAUUUUUAUAUCAUUGUAAUACUGCUGUGGAAACUAUUUUGAGCUUUAAAAUCCUAAUCAUUGAAGAGGCUGGUGGAAAUAGUUUAGUGGAACUGAAACCUGAUUCUCUAGAGCUUUGAUAUAUGUGCCUUGGUUUUCCUUCAUGUACCUUAAGCAUUACUCUUUUGGGUUGAAAAUAAAUCAUAUAGGUUUUGUUUAAACAACACCAAGCAUAUUUAAAAAAUGAGAAUUUGGUAAGAAUAAUGGCCAGAUUAAAAAUUAGAUUACAGAUUAGCAGCUGGAUACCUAAAUGAUCAGAACAUACAGUUGUGGCCAUUAGCCUUACUAGCACACCUAGUCCAUACUAUCACUAAAUAACUAUUUGGCCCCUGUUUGUUUAAUGACCAACUCCCCUGUUAGACUCUAAACACUGUCUAGUUCACAGCAAUAUCUCUAGUGCAUGGUUUAUUGCCUGCUGCAGGCUUGGUUCUUAGUAGACAUAACUGGAGUAAGUGAAUGAAUGACUCAUUUACUGGGAAGGGUAGUUUGGGGGUAGUUCAUCAAUCAAUCCAUCUAUCCAUCCAUCCAUCCAUCCAUCCAUCCAUCCAUCCAUCCACCCAUCCAUCCACACACCCACCCACUUACCCACCUACCCAACCAUCCAUCCAUCCAUCCAUCCAUCCAUCCAUCCAUCCAUCCAUCUAUCCAUCCAUCCAUCCACUUCUUCAUUCAUCUAUCACCAGAUAUCUUAGGGAAUAUUUGCCAUGUGGUAAGCACUGUGCCUUGCACCAAAGGCACAGAGUAAAGCAGUGAUGGCACUGCUCUGGAUGGAAAAGCUCACUCUCUGGGUGGGGAAAGAGUCAGACCCUCCAUUGAGGUCUUCAAAUACCUCUUCUGCAGAUCUCUUGCCUGGCAUUUACAGUCCUAGAACUGUAAAAACUGGUCCUUUUAUUAGGGCAUUGUUUUUGUAAAUCACAAAUAUGCUGCAGGGUGUGCUUUUCAGUCAUUAACAACUUAGAGUGAGCUAGUUUCUCAGGUUUAGGAGGGGAGGGAGAGAAAGCAGGCCAUAUGGUUAUGGAAAGGACACUCUCAAGUAAUUGGUUUCUCCCUUCUCUAUAGUAGGAGGCCCUGGGUCAUGGGAAGGCAGCAAUGUAGCAGAAACAUGCCCAAUUGGCUUGAGUCUGUCACCACCUAGCUGUGCCAUGACAGGCAGCUUGGCCAACUCUGAGCCUCAGGCUCCUUACCUGCCUGGAAGGUGAUGCAGAACAAAUGCUGCUGUAGUCAUGAAAGGGUCCUGUGAAUCACAUGACUACAUGCUCUUCCCCUUGCCAAGGAAGGGGUGAGUUUUUCAGACCUGACAGCCAUGCACACACCUGCUGCUCUGCAGAUGGCCUCUUCUGUGCUGCUUUCUUUUUAGAGGAAGCCCUUCAAGCUUCUUGUAUCAGGUGCCACACAGACAUUAGUUGCAUCUUCAUUGUCCUCUCCUGUGAAGGCAGAACCUGGUGCUGAGUCCCCAGCAUUUCCAGCUCCAGGGUGCAUCACGGAGCUGCACCCCAAUGCCAGCUUGUCCUGGCCCUCGGGAGCACAAACCUCCUGGGAAGGGCCCUCAGAGGACUGCCAGGUUCUGUCCUAUCCAGCAGGGCCUUCUUCCAGGCACAUCUUUGUCACGUGAGCUUGAGGACAAGGAAACUCUUUCCCUGACCUGGAGCUGCUGUGAUUGGCUGACAUCGGGCCGCUUGUUACAAGAGGGCCCCUCUGGCAGUGAACGAGGCUAAUACAGUGUGUUUCUGCUCAGGCUUGUUAAUGCCUUUCAUUGCUUUCUCUCUGUCCACACAGGAGGCUGCUUGUGUUAGCCUCAUUUUCGGUAGACUCUACUCAACUGUGGCAAUGAUGGGCACCUGUAGUACCAAGCUCAUAUCUCACUAGAUUUGCUGCAAAGAAGACCAAGCAAAGUUCCAAGGCUGAUGCUUUGCAGCCCAGAAUGGAUCAUGACUAUUACCUUGAUUGGCCAGGCCUAGGACGGGGGUAACCACUCUCAAGCCCUUGGACUGAGACUGGGGGAAAAGUGGUUCCCCAGGAAAAACUGAGUUCCUAUUAUCUAAAGAAGACAUGAAUAUUCAGCAGAAAAACAUCACAUUUCCACACUUUUAAACUCUGAAAUAUGUGGCUAGGUAUAAGUCAAAGCCAGAAAUUAAAUGAGGGAACAGUUCUCUGAGGCCUUCACGCAGCUGUUAAUGUUCCUAGAAAGUGAAGGGGUUUUCCCUGAUCUAUUCUAUAACGUAUCUUAAGUAGAGUACUUUCAAGUUCUUGUCCUGGAAAAUCACCACAUGAUUAACAAACCCAUAGACUGGAAAAUUGGGGAAGGGCAGGCAGAAGACUACAAGAGAACUCUUGUACCCUUUCAACAAAUAGGCAGCAUCACUUAGCACAAAGGAGGAAAUGAAGCAAUAAUUGAAACCAUGAAGUGGGUAUCUUUGUAUGCGUGCAUGUUGUGAAAAAACGUGCAUCAUCCACAUUAACACAUAGCCAGAUGAAAACCCAAGUCAUC